AGUGGCGAACGGGUGAGUAACACGUGGGUGAUCUGCCCUGCACUUCGGGAUAAGCUUGGGAAACUGGGUCUAAUACCGGAUAGGACUCCGAGAUGCAUGUCUUGGGGUGGAAAGUUUUUAACGGUGUGGGAUGGGCCCGCGGCCUAUCAGCUUGUUGGUGGGGUGAUGGCCUACCAAGGCGACGACGGGUAGCCGGCCUGAGAGGGUGUCCGGCCACACUGGGACUGAGAUACGGCCCAGACUCCUACGGGAGGCAGCAGUGGGGAAUAUUGCACAAUGGGCGCAAGCCUGAUGCAGCGACGCCGCGUGGGGGAUGACGGCCUUCGGGUUGUAAACCUCUUUCACCAUCGACGAAGGCCCGCUUUUGGUGGGUUGACGGUAGGUGGAGAAGAAACACCGGCCAACUACGUGCCAGCAGCCGCGGUAAUACGUAGGGUGCGAGCGUUGUCCGGAAUUACUGGGCGUAAAGAGCUCGUAGGUGGUUUGUCGCGUUGUUCGUGAAAUUCCCUGGCUUAACUGGGGGCGUGCGGGCGAUACGGGCAGACUGGAGUACUGCAGGGGAGACUGGAAUUCCUGGUGUAGCGGUGGAAUGCGCAGAUAUCAGGAGGAACACCGGUGGCGAA
rnacentral:rRNA from 1 species